AACGAACGCUGGCGGCAGGCUUAACACAUGCAAGUCGAACGCAUCCUUCGGGGUGAGUGGCAGACGGGUGAGUAACGCGUGGGAACGUGCCCUUCAGUUCGGGAUAACCCAGGGAAACUUGGGCUAAUACCGGAUACGUGCGAGAGCAGAAAGAUUUAUCGCUGAAGGAUCGGCCCGCGUCUGAGUAGCUAGUUGGUGGGGUAAUGGCCCACCAAGGCGACGAUCAGUAGCUGGUCUGAGAGGAUGAUCAGCCACAUUGGGACUGAGACACGGCCCAAACUCCUACGGGAGGCAGCAGUGGGGAAUAUUGGACAAUGGGCGCAAGCCUGAUCCAGCCAUGCCGCUUGAGUGAUGAAGGCCUUAGGGUUGUAAAGCUCUUUCGUCCGGGACGAUAAUGACGGUACCGGAAGAAUAAGCCCCGGCUAACUUCGUGCCAGCAGCCGCAGUAA
rnacentral:rRNA from 1 species